UCCUAGCCCCGAUUGCAGUGGCACGAAGUAGAACAGAAAGCGGGAAAAUGG
rnacentral:sRNA from 1 species